UAACAGGAUUAGAUACCCUGGCAGUCCAUGCCGUAAACGAUGAAUGCUAAGUGUUGGAGGGUUUCCGCCCUUCAGUGCUGCAGCUAACGCAUUAAGCAUUCCGCCUGGGGAGUACGACCGCAAGGUUGAAACUCAAAAGAAUUGACGGGGGCCCGCACAAGCGGUGGAGCAUGUGGUUUAAUUCGAAGCUACGCGAAGAACCUUACCAGGUCUUGACAUCUUCUGCUAACCUAAGAGAUUAGGCGUUCCCUUCGGGGACGGAAUGACAGGUGGUGCAUGGUUGUCGUCAGCUCGUGUCGUGAGAUGUUGGGUUAAGUCCCGCAACGAGCGCAACCCUUAUUAUUAGUUGCCAGCAUUAAGUUGGGCACUCUAGUGAGACUGCCGGUGACAAACCGGAGGAAGGUGGGGACGACGUCAAAUCAUCAUGCCCCUUAUGACCUGGGCUACACACGUGCUACAAUGGACGGUACAACGAGUUGCGAGACCGCGAGGCUUAGCUAAUCUCUUAAAACCGUUCUCAGUUCGGACUGCAGGCUGCAACUCGCCUGCACGAAGUUGGAAUCGCUAGUAAUCGCGGAUCAGCAUGCCGCGGUGAAUACGUUCCCGGGCCUUGUACACACCGCCCGUCACACCAUGAGAGUUUGUAACACCCAAAGCCGGUGGAGUAACCUUCGGGAGCUAGCCGUCUAAGGUGGGACAGAUGAUUGGGGUGAAGUCGUAACAAGGUAACCA
rnacentral:rRNA from 1 species